AUCCGGCCUCUGGAAGGCUGGGCUUCAGGUAGUGAAGGCGGUGUGUCACUGCGGUGGUAUCUGGGGAGGCGUGCCGAGCCUCUCCGUGUGCGCGUCCCCUCCAGAAAUCUCCACAUCCCCCUGCUUCUCUCUCCACCAGAGCCGCCUCUCCCUCUGCCGACUGCCUGCCUGCCUGCCUGCCUGCCUGCCUGUGCCAAGAAGCCUACCCGAAUCGAGGGAAAGAGAGAACGAUGCCCGGGAGCGCCUUAACUUCACGCCGGGCGCAAGGGCGGAAGGGGGCCGAUUGGUUGACAGCCGGCUGCCUUGCCUUAAGAAGCAGGGCGUCUGAUGUCAAGCCGCCUCUCCCUCUGCCGACUGCCUGCCUGCCUGCCUGCCUGCCUGCCUGUGCCAAGAAGCCUACCCGAAUCGAGGGAAGAGAGAACGAUGCCCGGGAGCGCCUUAACUUCACGCCGGGCGCAAGGGCGGAAGGGGGCCGAUUGGUUGACAGCCGGCUGCCUUGCCUUAAGGAGCAGGGCGUCUGAUGUCAAGCCGCCUCUCCCUCUGCCGACUGCCUGCCUGCCUGCCUGCCUGCCUGCCUGUGCCAAGAAGCCUACCCGAAUCGAGGGAAAGAGAACGAUGCCGGGAGCGCCUUAACUUCACGCCGGGCGCAAGGGCGGAAGGGGCCGAUUGGUUGACAGCCGGCUGCCUUGCCUUAAGAAGCAGGGCGUCUGAUGUCAAGCCGCCUCUCCCUCUGCCGACUGCCUGCCUGCCUGCCUGCCUGCCUGCCUGCCUGUGCCAAGAAGCCUACCCGAAUCGAGGGAAGAGAGAACGGUGCCCGGGAGCGCCUUAA
rnacentral:lncRNA from 1 species